GAGAGCACUCCGCGUGGGGAGUACGGCCGCAAGGCUGAAACUCAAAGGAAUUGACGGGGGGAUGACGGGGCCGGGUGGAGCAUGUGGUUUAAUUCGAAGCAACGCGAAGAACCUUACCAGGUGUUCACAUCCUCUGAAAACCCUAGAGAUAGGGCUUCUCCUUCGGCAGAGUGACAGGUGGCGCAUGGUUGUCGUCAGCUGGUGUCGUUGUUGGGUUAAGUCCCGCAACGAGCGCAACCUUGAUUCUUAUUAAGUUGGGCACUCUAAGGUGACUAACCGGAGGAAGGUGUCAAAUCAUCAUGCAGUUGCCAUCCCCUUAUGACCUGGGCUACACACGUGCUACAAUGGACGGUACAAAGAGAUGCAAGACCGUGGAGCUAAUCUCAUAAAACCGUUCUCAGUUUUAACGCAUGCCGGUGACAGCGAG
rnacentral:rRNA from 1 species